rnacentral:rRNA from 1 species
CGCAGCCUGAUGCAGCCAUGCCGCGUGUAUGAAGAAGGCCUUCGGGUUGUAAAGUACUUUCAGUCGGGAGGAAGGUGUUAAGGUUAAUAACCUUGACAAUUGACGUUACCGACAGAAGAAGCACCGGCUAACUCCGUGCCAGCAGCCGCGGUAAUACGGAGGGUGCAAGCGUUAAUCGGAAUUACUGGGCGUAAAGCGCACGCAGGCGGUUGAUUGAGUCAGAUGUGAAAUCCCCGGGCUUAACCCGGGAAUUGCAUCUGAUACUGGUCAGCUAGAGUCUUGUAGAGGGGGGUAGAAUUCCAUGUGUACCGGUGAAAUGCGUAGAGAUGUGUAGGAAUAUUGGUGGCGAACGCCGCCCCCUCGACAAAUAAUUAUCCUCAGGU